rnacentral:rRNA from 1 species
UACAGAGGGGGCAAGCGUUAUUCGGAAUUAUUGGGCGUAAAGGGCGCGUAGGCGGCUUCGCAAGUGGAAGGUGAAAUCCCUCGGCUUAACCGAGGAACUGCCCUCCAAACUGCGUGGCUUGAGUCCGGGAGAGGUGAGUGGAAUUCCCAGUGUAGCGGUGAAAUGCGUAGAUAUUGGGAGGAACACCAGUGGCGAAGGCGGCUCACUGGACCGGUACUGACGCUGAUGCGCGAAAGCGUGGGGAGCAAACGGGG